GAAAUGCGAUAAGUAGUGUGAAUUGCAGAAUUCAGUGAAUCAUCGAAUCUUUGAACGCACAUUGCGCCCCUCGGUAUUCCGUGGGGCAUGCCUGUUCGAGCGUCAUCUACACCCUCAAGCUCUGCUUGGUGUUGGGCGUCUGUCCCGCCUCCGCGCGCGGACUCGCCCCAAAUGCAUUGGCAGCGGUUCCUUGCCCCCCUCUUUGCGCAGCACAUUGCCAUUCGAGGCGGCGGCGGCCCGCGUCCAACAAGCUCAACCCCCCCGUCUUUGACCUCGGAUCGGGUAGGGAUACCCGCUGAACUUAAGC
rnacentral:misc_RNA from 1 species